UUAACUCAAAUUUGUAUGUAGUUGGAAUUCUUACCUACGUUUGCCGCUAGGGGCGCUGUUCUAACUACAUACAAAUUUGUGUGA
rfam:Bombyx mori DNA, contig: Bm_scaf39_contig22712, strain: p50T/Dazao, build 2, whole genome shotgun sequence.